rnacentral:rRNA from 1 species
AUUGAACGCUGGCGGCAGGCCUAACACAUGCAAGUCGAACGAGUGGCGGACGGGUGAGUAAUGUCUGGGAAACUGCCCGAUGGAGGGGGAUAACUACUGGAAACGGUAGCUAAUACCGCAUACCAUCGGAUGUGCCCAGAUGGGAUUAGCUAGUAGGUGGGGUAAAGGCUCACCUAGGCGACGAUCCCUAGCUGGUCUGAGAGGAUGAACAGCCACACUGGAACGGAUACACGUCCAGGCCUCCUACGGGAGGCAGCAGUGGGGAAUAUUGCACAAUGGGCGAAAGACUGAUGCAGCCAUGCGGCGUGUAUGAAGAAGGCCUUCGGGUUGUAAAGUACUUUCAGCGGGGAGGCGUUACCCGCAGAAGAAGCACCGGCUAACUCCGUGCCAGCAGCCGCGGUAAUUC